UAGGCACUUGGCCUCCGAGCUCUGCAUCCU
rnacentral:piRNA from 2 species